rnacentral:rRNA from 1 species
UAGGGAAUAUUGGUCAAUGGGUGCAAGCCUGAACCAGCCAUGCCGCGUGCAGGAAGACGGCCUUCUGGGUUGUAAACUGCUUUUGCCAGGGGCUAAAAAGCUCAUGCGUGAGAACUUGAAAGUACCUGGUGAAUAAGCCACGGCUAACUACGUGCCAGCAGCCGCGGUAAUACGUAGGUGGCAAGCGUUGUCCGGAUUUAUUGGGUUUAAAGGGUGCGUAGGCGGCUUUGUAAGUCAGUGGUGAAAUAUGUCAGCUCAACUGAGAGGGUGCCAUUGAUACUGCGGAGCUUGAGUACAGAUGAGGUAGGCGGAAUUGACGGUGUAGCGGUGAAAUGCUUAGAUAUCGUCAAGAACACCGAUAGCGAAGGCAGCUUACUAGGCUGUAACUGACGCUGAGGCACGAAAGUGUGGGGAUCAA